rfam:Sulfurovum sp. AS07-7 Sequence0000000007, whole genome shotgun sequence.
GUAGUUGAUACAGGUGUGGGUGGUUUCAUUUGAGCUAACUAAUCCUUAGCGAGAAAUUGUCCCCAAAGUAUCUCUCUCUCCUACACUGUUGGCUUUUUUAGGGCCGACUCUCGCAGAAACGGUCACUUGGGA